GUUCAAUUAGAUUGUAAUCGACUCUCAUGGAAAACAAGUUAUAUUAUGUAUUCCUAAUAGAAUAAGCCAGUUGAUCAAUCACAACUAUCCAUCUAUGGUGAUUGUGUAGGUAAUCACAAGUAUCCCACCAUACACAUACAUAUGGCCAAUGGCUAUGAUUGAUAACCAGGUCUCUUAAUUUUUAGUGCCAAAUUGGAGAGGAUCCAAAGUUGUAGAAUUUUCAUCCGAACACGGC
rnacentral:lncRNA from 1 species